AUGCUCUCUCUGGAAAAGACCUCGGAUACCAUUGUUGUACCUCUGUUUUGUAAUGAAGGGAAGUAACGUAACCAAGUUUAUAAAAGUGAUUUUAACACCUUUUCUUUCCACUUGAGAGUGUCCACAUACUAGAAAGGUCAACACGCAGGAUCCCGGUGGAAGAGCAAUCAUGCCUCGAUAUAGAGCUCACUAUGAAAUGAGUCCAUCACCAAAGCAGAAGGGAGAGAGCUUUCAAUGGAGGAAACGAUGAUUAUCACUUUCCCAUAUCACGAGCUACUUUCCAAGGUGAGCGACAGAAAAUUCUAGCUGCACCAAAGACCAGUGAAGAGUUACCACCAGCUUAGUGCUCUGACUUGUCCAUUGGCAAUCUAGUCAAUCCAUGUCAGGCCUUAAGCUGGAGGGCGUGUUCGUGUCUACAGCUUGUGCUUACAGUUUCUGUGUCUAGCAGAUAUUUUUCACACGAAAUGUUGGGGCAAUGAGAAUGCAAAGGGCUUGCUUUCCAGCAAACAUGGUUUUCUUCAAGCAAGAUGCGUACCUUACAAGGCAGUCUGUGCCCUUGAUCGUUUUAGUCAGAGCAGAUGGAGCACGCUCUUCUCCACAGAUGUCUUUAUAACUGUUUGUGGUUUUAUUUUUGUCUUUCCACAAAAUGUUAUGCGAAAAGCAAAAUAAAGUAAUAUC